AUACGGGAGGCAGCAGUGGGGAAUUUUCCGCAAUGGGCGAAAGCCUGACGGAGUGACGCCGCGUGGGGGACGAAGGCCUUCGGGUUGUAAACCCCUGUCAGAGGGAAAGAAGGGUGUCGGCGCGAUAACCGCCGGCAUCUGACGGUACCUUCAGAGGAAGCCCCGGCCAACUCUGUGCCAGCAGCCGCGGUAAGACAGAGGGGGCAAGCGUUGCUCGGAAUCACUGGGCGUAAAGGGCGCGUAGGCGGGAUGGCAAGUCAGUCGUGAAAUCUCUCGGCUCAACCGAGAAACGUCGGCUGAUACUGCCGUUCUUGAGGGAUGCAGAGGAGACUGGAAUUCCCGGUGUAGCGGUGAAAUGUGUAGAGAUCGGGAGGAACACCGGUGGCGAAGGCGGGUCUCUGGGCAUCUCCUGACGCUGAGGCGCGAAAGCGUGGGGAGCAAACGGGAUUAGAUACCCCGGU
rnacentral:rRNA from 1 species